UGGCUGCUGAAGCCUGCCCUCUGGGCGUCCAAGGCAGUCACUAGUUGACUUUAAAGGGCUUGAAAAAUGUCAGAAGAAAAUUGUGACACAGAAAAAUGUCUGCUUUGGAAGAUGGAAUGGGGUUUGUUGGGAGAGAUAUGGUUGUGCAGCAGUGGUUGUACAUGGUCUCUGAGAGUGAGGACUGGCACAAGUAGGAGAUAUGUGUGCCUGGGAGAGGGGAGAACCCAGGAGCCCUGAUCCUAGAUCCCAUUAGUCACUGGUUCUGCCCUUUAGCUGAAGGCAGUGUGAUGGAGUUGAGUUUGUAUUUGCUUAGUAGUUUGGCCUGCGAUGCCCUCUGCUUCGGGGGAAGGGAGAGGGGAGGAAUUGGUUUUGGCUGCUCCGUGAAAUGGUUGUUAUUCAUGGUGGGUGCAGGCAACCUGUACUUCCAGGUGCCUGUGACUCCUGAAGACACAGUCGGGUAUUUCUCAGAGCAGCAGGGUGGCGGCCUGGAGGACUCAUAGAAGGAGCUCUGCAAAUGUGUUGUGAAGGGGAGCUGUGACACCCUGAGCUUCCUGGGUGAGAGGCUGGCCUCUGGGGGCCUCCACACCUUGGUUUUACUCCUUUAUUCAAUCGCAUGAGACUCCUGAAUCUCAGAGCAGGAAGCAUGUGGAGAUCAUUUCUUCAGCCCUCUGUCUUCAGGCAGGUAGAAGGUAUCUGUCAUUAUCAUUUUGAGGUUUUAUGUAAUGAAAUGCAGAGGUUAUGUGACUUGUUCCAGGUCUCGUGGAGUAAAUAAACUGGAAUCUGCUCCUCGCUGUCCUGCCCUUCACAUGGUGCCAGAGGCAGCUCCUGCGUGCACACCUGUGGCUCACCAGCCUGUCUGCUCCUGGGGAGCUGGGGCCUCCCCUGGUUUACAUCUGCAUCUCUAGGACACCCACGCUGCACUCUGCACACUGAGUUCUCAGGAGAUUCCUGCUGAGCAAAGAAGGAUGAAUUGUAGGCCUGCUUCUUUUUUUUUUUUGAGACGGAGUUUUGCUCUUGUUUCCCAGGCUGGAGUGCAAUGGCGUGAUCUCAGCUCACCACACCCUCCGCCUCCCGGGUUCAAGUGAUUCUCCUGCCUCAGCUUCCUGAGUAGCUGGGACUACAGGCAUGGGCCACCACACCUGGCUCAUUUUAUAUUUUUAGUAGAGACGGGGUUUGUCUAUGUUGGUCAGGCUGGCUGCGAACUCCCAACCUCAGGCGAUCCACCCGUCUCGGUCUCCUAAAGUGCUGGGAUUACAGGAGUGAGCCACCGCGCUUGGCCAGGCCUGCUUUUAAGGAUGCCCCAGGUCCAGAAAAUCAGGGCCAGCCCUGGGAAGUUCGCUCCUUCAGGCAGGUGUGCAUCUUCAUGUGAGACUUGAUCAGACCUGGGUUUUUGUAUCUACCCCACUCCGAAGCUCUCCUGCGUGAACCUGGAAUUCUCACUGCUUUGGGCAGAGGUUCCUCCUUCAGAAAAGGGUCCCAGUGUGCUGUGGGAGGCAGGGUGAGGAGGCUGUCCGGCCUCAGGCGAGGAAGGAGAAGCACAUGGAAGGAAGGGCAGCAGGAAGCCUGAACCUGACUGCCAUGAAUGGCCAGCCCCAAUCUUGGGCCUCAGUUUCCUCAUCUGUCUGGACUAGGUGACUUGCCUGUGUGGGCAGUGGAUGGGAACCCUUCCUCUUGGCCUCAUGGCACUCACUUCUAGCCCACGAAAACUGAGAGGCCUUGCCCACCCUACUCUCCAUGCCCCUUCAACACACGUCUUGAAGAGGCUGCUCCAAGCCUGGCAGAACACCCUCCCUUUCCAGGCCUGCAGAGGACAGCCCUGCCACUGCCCUUUUCCUCCCCACAGGCCAGGCCACCACCAAGCCAGAUCUGGCGCCAGUGGAGAAAGGAGACAGGGAGGCAACUGCAGCCUGCCCAGUGUGGAGAGGGGCCAGAGCCCGGGCACUGGUGAGUCCCUCAGGGUGUGGGCCUGGGCCUCUCCACCUGCAUCUGGUAAGGGCAUCUGGUGUCAGAAGGCCCCCCUGGAGAAGGAGAGGCA
rnacentral:lncRNA from 1 species